rnacentral:rRNA from 1 species
GACGAACCACACAAACGUUAUUCGGAAUUACUGGGCUUAAAGGGUGCGUAGGCUGCGCAGAAAGUUGGGUGUGAAAUGCCUCGGCUCAACCGAGGAACUGCGCCCAAAACUACUGUGCUUGAGGGAGAUAGAGGUGAGCGGAACUUAGGGUGGAGCGGUGAAAUGCGUUGAUAUCCUAAGGAACACCCGUGGCGAAAGCGGCGCACUGGACCACAACUGACGCUGAGGCGCGAAAGCUAGGGGAGCAAACAGG